GUGAAGUCGCUCAGUCAUGGCCGAUUCUUCGCGACCCCAUGGACUGCAGCCUACCAGGCUCCUCUGCCCAUGGGAUUUUCCAGGCAAGAGUACUGGAGUGGAGUUGCUUUAAGUUCUAAAUUAAAAGUCGCCCUGACUUUUGGGGUCUCACGGCAUCCCGUGAGGCUGCUGUUAUAGAAAAUAUACAAGGAACAUAGCACCACCCCUCACCUCUUGGGUGACUGACUUCUCCAGUUUUGUCCAGACCAAGGAGUUUCUUCGGAUGUGGGACUUUCAGUCUUAAAACAUGGAACUUCCCAGGCAAACUUGGAUGCAUCAGUCACUGUGCUUAUCACAAAAAUGAUCUACAGAAACUUGACCACAAUAUUCUAUUGUGUCUCUGGAAAUAUAGUCAGUAAUCCAUUUGGUUUGUUUUUUGUAGGAAGCCCCAGGCAAUCUUUGGAUUCCCUAAUGCUUUUCCUUCCAGUUGUUGGCACACGUGGCAGAGUUCAUGCUUACCUAGAGACAGCUACAGACACCAGAUCUGUGACUGUGUCAGUAGAGCUUAUGCAAUGCACAGUGUUAAGAUUUUUAUCUGUAACCCUUGACUGACUUUAUCCCCUAAACAGAAAUCUGAGCUCAAGACUAAUCCUCUCUAACUCUGUUAUUAAGAUGAAAUGUGAAAAUACAGUUAAUUAAAUCAUUCUUAUAAUUAGCUACAACCACCACAGAAAAAGUCGUGUUGUGUAUCUCUUGUAUCAUGAUAAAAAUUGGAACGUGAUAAAGCAUUUGUGUAUUGUGGUCUUGGAUGUUUUACUUCAGAGCUAUUAAAAUGUUCUGAAUGGCUAUUGAGCACUUGGGCUAGUGAGACUGAGGAACUGAAUUUUUUAUUUUUAAAUCUUAUUUAAGUUGUGUGAACUAGUGGCUACCCUGGACAAUAUAUAAGAGCCAGUUCAUAGGCUUCUGCACAGGCUGGAAAUAGUGAAAAUAUUUUUGGAACACAGAAAUUUCCAUUUCAGUGGCUGUAGCCUUCAAACUAGAGCAUACUUACUAGUAAUAGCACAGUUUAUUUAUGAAAAUAAAUGUUUGGCCUCCUGAAAUUAAGUCAAAUAAAGAACUAUUUCUGCCUUUGCUAAUGUAAUCUCUCUGUGAUCAGCUUCAAAAACCUAUGUGAAGUAAUUAAGAAAUAAACAUUUUAUUUUCCAACUCCA